rnacentral:rRNA from 1 species
UACAGAGGGGGCAAGCGUUAUUCGGAAUUAUUGGGCGUAAAGGGCGCGUAGGCGGUGUUUUAAGUCGGAUGUGUAAUCCCCGGGCUCAACCUGGGAACUGCAUCCGAUACUGGGACGCUGGAGUGCUGGAGAGGGUGGUGGAAUUCCUCGUGUAGCGGUGAAAUGCGUAGAGAUGAGGAGGAACACCAGUGGCGAAGGCGGCCACCUGGACAGUAACUGACGCUGAGGCGCGAAAGUGUGGGGAGCAAACAGG